ensembl:lncRNA
GGCAGUUCUUAUAUGCAGAAGUGAAACCAGACUGGAGAUCUUUAUAACCGCACUUACAGUCACGCAGUGCCAUUAGUGCAUGCAAGUGACCGAAGAAGCAAAAGAGGCAGAGGAAAAAGAAGGCCAGUUACUAGGCGGGCAUGUUGGCUGAAGGUUUUCUCAGACUGCUGGUGUACAGGGAGGAGAGAAAGUUUGCCUCCAAUUCCAAGCAAAGGAGAUUGCAGACAAGUGGUCAUUGUGCUGAUCCAUCCAACUGUGCUCGCUCUGACUCGAGCUCUGCAGUCCCAGGGGUGCAUUCAGCAGAAGCAGGGAUCAUAGAGGAAGAUCUAAACUCCAGCCAACCCCAGAUUCUCAAAGUGGUGCCUCAGAGACGUGUAGCCCUCUCAAUCCCUACUGACCUGUACCCCCUUUACAUAGAAGACUGUAGCUUGCUGGAACAGUAUCCAGACCUGCAGGUGGCUGACUCAGGCCGCAUCACACACAAUCUACUGAGAACUGCUGUCAGCCAGCAUGAUUUCUGCAUCCAGUCUCCCAUCUCUCAAGUUUGUCCAAGCACAGCCCAGCAAGAGCCACAGAAUUCAGUACCAUCCAUACCAGACCAGGGUUAUCUAGCAAUGGGGGACAGUGUGAACAUCAGCCUGGAUCUGCCUGGAUCGGGGCUAGAGCCCAUGUCUAACUCGGUGCUGAACGGGCUGCUGGAGAAACAGCUGGAGGAGGUGUACAUGCAGCAUCUAACUGAGAACUUAGCUCGGUGCAACUCCCACCUGGGGAACAGCCUCCUGCACGGCCUGGUGCCCCCGCCGCAGCCUAGCAGCCAGUCAGAGGGGCCAGACUCAUUACUGGGAUGCAUGGAAGAAAGCACAGAAGACAGCAGCAGUAAAAUUAGUUAUCUGAACACCCAUAACUUAGUGCCCUGCUCCUCCAACUUCAGCUCCCCAGUGUUGAGGAUUUCAGAGGCGGAAAAUCCUCAUCCGCAAUGAUCCUGCAAAAGCUUUAAAUAUUGUGACCUAGACGACUUUGCUUCAGUGCUUCACACCCAAGUUUACACACACACAAUUGUAUCCACUAUAUCAGUGCUAUUUUUAUACAAAGCCUUGCUCUCUUGCUUAAGAUGCCUGAAACUUAGUUGCUUUCAUAUGCCAUCUUCUGUUAGAUUUGAGUAUUACACCACCGGGGAGCUACUUGUUAUACAUUCAAAUGUAUUUUACUGACUUAUAGUUGGGAAUGUGUUAAGUGUUUGAUUUAUAAUAAAGCAAGAUAUAACAAAGUAUCAGCUUGUGGUUGUUUACAACUGCGUUUUAUUAAUCUGUUGCUUUUUACCAACACCUGUAAAGCCAUCUUGUACCCAUCUACUUACUUAGACAGCAGAAGGCUGGAUAUUGACAUUUAUGUGCGCUGUCAGUUUUGGCCGGCGGUCAUAGGUUCUGUCCAAUAAUAUGACGCGAGACUGGAGUAAAAGACAUCCAUGGAUUGGUACUUUAUUAAAGAAGGAGCAUGAUAACAGCACAAACACUAACUACAACUAAACAAAAUGGCUUCCUUUUAUACUCUACCUUUUCAGGUGAGCAUCUGGAAUAGCCCAAGUAUGGGGGUUAACUAAUCAAAAUGGACACAUAACCCUCC